UACAGAGGUGGCAAGCGUUGUUCGGAAUUACUGGGCGUAAAGGGCGCGUAGGCGGCCUUCUAAGUCAGACGUGAAAUCCCCCGGCUUAACCUGGGAACUGCGUCUGAUACUGGAGGGCUUGAGUGCGGGAGAGGGAUGUGGAAUUCCAGGUGUAGCGGUGAAAUGCGUAGAUAUCUGGAGGAACACCGGUGGCGAAGGCGACGUCCUGGACCGGCAUUGACGCUGAGGCGCGAAAGCCAGGGGAGCAAACGGG
rnacentral:rRNA from 1 species